rnacentral:rRNA from 1 species
ACUCCUACGGGAGGCAGCAGUGAGGAAUAUUGGACAAUGGGUGGAAGCCUGAUCCAGCCAUCCCGCGUGAAGGAUUAAGGUUCUAUGGACUGUAAACUUCUUUUGUAUAGGGAUAAACCUACCCUCGUGAGGGUAGCUGAAGGUACUAUACGAAUAAGCACCGGCUAACUCCGUGCCAGCAGCCGCGGUAAUACGGAGGGUGCAAGCGUUAUCCGGAUUUAUUGGGUUUAAAGGGUCCGUAGGCGGACUUAUAAGUCAGUGGUGAAAUCCGGCAGCUUAACUGUCGAACUGCCAUUGAUACUGUAAGUCUUGAGUAUAUUUGAGGUAGCUGGAAUAAGUAGUGUAGCGGUGAAAUGCAUAGAUAUUACUUAGAACACCAAUUGCGAAGGCAGGUUACCAAGUUAUAACUGACGCUGAUGGACGAAAGCGUGGGUAGCGAACAGGAUUAGAUACCCUGGUAGUCCACGCUGUAAACGAUGCUAACUCGUUUUUGGGCAUUAUAGUUCAGAGACCAAGCGAAAGUGAUAAGU